rnacentral:rRNA from 1 species
GAUGAACGCUGGCGGCGUGCCUAAUACAUGCAAGUCGAGCGAACGGACGAGAAGCUUGCUUCUCUGAUGUUAGCGGCGGACGGGUGAGUAACACGUGGAUAACCUACCUAUAAGACUGGGAUAACUUCGGGAAACCGUAGCUAAUACCGGAUAAUAUUUUGAACCGCAUGGUUCAAAAGUGAAAGACGGUCUUGCUGUCACUUAUAGAUGGAUCCGCGCUGCAUUAGCUAGUUGGUAAGGUAACGGCUUACCAAGGCAACGAUGCAUAGCCGACCUGAGAGGGUGAUCGGCCACACUGGAACUGAGACACGGUCCAGACUCCUACGGGAGGCAGCAGUAGGGAAUCUUCCGCAGUGGGCGAAAGCCUGACGGAGCAACGCCGCGCGAGUGAUGAAGGUCUUCGGAUCGUAAAACUCUGUUAUUAGGGAAGAACAUAUGUGUAAGUAACUGUGCACAUCUUGACGGUACCUAAUCAGAAAGCCACGGCUAACUACGUG